GACGAACGCUGGCGGCGUGCUUAAUACAUGCAAGUCGAACGGACAGGCCCUGCGUUUGUGUGGUGCUCGUUAGGCGAACGGGUGAGUAACACGCGAGUAACCUCCCCUUGACUUUCGGAUAACUCCACGAAACUGGGUCUCAUACCGGAUAUGAUCUCCUGCUCCGUAGUGGGGGUUGGAGAGUUUCGGCGGUGGGGGAUGGACUCGCGGCUUAUCCGCUUGUUGGUGGGGUAGUGGCUUACCAAGGCUUUGACGGGUAGCCGGCCUGAGAGGGUGACCGGCCACAUUGGGACUGAGAUACGGCCCAGACUCCUACGGGAGGCAGCAGUGGGGAAUAUUGCACAAUGGGGGGAAGCCUGAUGCAGCAACGCCGCGUGCGGGAUGACGGCCUUCGGGUUGUAAACCGCUUUCGCCUGUGACGAAGCGUGAGUGACGGUAAUGGGUAAAGAAGCACCGGCUAACUACGUG
rnacentral:rRNA from 1 species